rnacentral:rRNA from 1 species
UGGGGAAUAUUGCACAAUGGGCGCAAGCCUGAUGCAGCCAUGCCGCGUGUGUGAAGAAGGCCUUCGGGUUGUAAAGCACUUUCAGCGAGGAGGAAGGUGGUGAGCUUAAUACGCUCAUCAAUUGACGUUACUCGCAGAAGAAGCACCGGCUAACUCCGUGCCAGCAGCCGCGGUAAUACGGAGGGUGCAAGCGUUAAUCGGAAUUACUGGGCGUAAAGCGCACGCAGGCGGUUUGUUAAGUCAGAUGUGAAAUCCCCGGGCUCAACCUGGGAACUGCAUUUGAAACUGGCAAGCUAGAGUCUCGUAGAGGGGGGUAGAAUUCCAGGUGUAGCGGUGAAAUGCGUAGAGAUCUGGAGGAAUACCGGUGGCGAAGGCGGCCCCCUGGACGAAGACUGACGCUCAGGUGCGAAAGCGUGGGGCAGCAAACAGGAUUAGAUACCCUGGUAGUCCAGCGCUGUAAACGAUGUCGAUUUGGAGGUUGUGCCCUUGAGGCGUGGCUUCCGGAGCUAACGCGUUAAAUCGACCGCCUGGGGAGUACGGCCGCAAGGUUAAAACUUAAAUGAAUUGAC